AAAAAAAAAAAAAAAAGAGAAAUCACAGUUGACCUACAAUAGCUAAUCAUGCAAGAAUUUCGUUGUCUCUGGCUUUAGUUCUGUCAGCUGCAAUCUUGGAAUCUUGUUCUUUGUAUUGGGUGUAGAAAUUUACUUGAAAGGCCAAGUUUCUGGCAAAAGAGUCUCUGCUUUUUCAGAAGCAAAUUAGUUCCAGUUGGUGAGGUCUUUGUGUUUGAGCAAUUUGGAAAAAUAGCUUUCAAUUGGAUAAAAUGGCUGGAGGUAGAAGAAAGCAGCGUUUUAGCAGGAUCCAUGCCUUUUCAUGUGGAAAGGCAUCUUUCAAAGGAGACCAUUCACUUAUUGGAGGGCCGGGCUUCUCAAGGGUAAUCUAUUGCAAUGAACCUGAAUCUUUUGAAGCUGGUGUGCACAAUUAUGACAGCAAUUAUGUUAGAACUACCAAGUAUACGCUUGCAACAUUUUUCCCCAAGUCAUUAUUUGAGCAAUUCAGGCGGGUCGCCAAUUUUUACUUUCUUAUCUGUGCAAUAUUGUCUUUCACACCACUGUCUCCUUACACUGCUGUUAGUAAUGUUGUUCCUCUUGUUGUUGUUAUUGGGGCUACAAUGGGGGAAGAG
rnacentral:misc_RNA from 1 species